rnacentral:lncRNA from 10 species
CAGGAUCUCAUUCUGUUGCCCAGGCUGGAGUGCAGUGCUGUGGUGUGAUCACAGCUCAGUGAAGCCUCGACCUCCCCGGCUCAACAGAUCCUCCCAUCUCAGUCUCAAAAGUGGCCUAGGUAUGUGAUCAAUUUUCGAGUAAGUGCCAUGUGGUGCCAAUCUGGGAACACAGCUAACAAGGGAAGUGAAGAGCCUCUUCAAGGAGAACUACUCAAGGCAUUGCUCAAGGAAAUCAGAGAGGAAACAAAUGGAAAAACAUUUCAUGUUCGUAAAUAGGAAGAAUCAAUAUUGUCAAAAUGGCCAAACUCCCCGAAGUAAUUUAUAGAUUCAUUGGUAUUCCCAUUAAACUACCAUUGACAUAGGUAUUAUGGAAAAAAGCUAUUUUAAAAUUCAUAUGGAACCAAAAAAGAGCCCGUGUAGCCUCGACAAUCCUAAGCAAAAAGAACAAAGCUGGAGGUAUCACAUUACUCAACUUCAAAAUAUACUACAAGGCUACAGUAACCAAAAUAGCAUGGUACUGGUACAAAAACAGACACAUAGACCAAUGGAACAGAAUGGAGAACUCAUUUAUAAGACUGCACAUCUACAACCAUCUGAUCUUUGAGAAAUCUGACAAAAACAAGCGAUGGGGAAGGGAUUCCUUAUUUGAUAAAUGAUGCUGGGAGAACUGGCUAGCCAUAUGCAGAAAACUGGAACUGGACCGUUUCCUUACACCUCAUACAAAGAUUAACUCAAGGUGGAUUAGACUUAAAUGUGAAACCUAAAACUAUAAAAACCCUAGAAGAAAAUCUAGGUAAUAACACUGAGGACAUAGGCACGGGCAAAAUUUCAUGACAAAGACAUAGGCAUGGGCAAAGAUUUCAUGAUGAAGACAUGCAAUUGCAAAAAAGAUGCAAAUUGCAACAAAAGCAAAAAUUGACAAAUAAAAUUUAAUUAAACUAAUUUUUUGUUGUUGUUUUGAGAUAGAGUCUUGCUGUGUCACCCAGGCUGGAGUGCAGUGGUGUGAUCUUGGCUCACUGCAACCUCUGCCUCCCAGGUUCAAGCAAUUCUUCUGCCUCAGCCUCCCAAGUAGCUGGGAUUACAGGUGCCCACCAUCAAGCCUGGCUCACUUUUGUGUUAUUAGUAGAGAUGGGAUUUCACCAUGUUGGCAAGGCUGGUCUCAAACUUCUGACUUUGGGUGAUCUGCCUGCCUCGGCCUCCCAAAGUGCUAGGAUUACAGGUGUGAGCCACCGUGCCUGGCUGUGAUGUAAUUAAACUAAGGAGCUUCUGCACAGCAAAAGAAACUAUUAACAAACAGACAACCUACAGAAUCGGAGAAAAUUUUUGCAGUCUAUUCAUCUGACAAAAGUCUAAUAUCCAGCAUCUAUAAGGAACUUAAACAAAUGUACAAGAAAAAAAAAAAAAAAGUGGGCAAAGUACAUGAACAGAUACUUCUAAAAAGAAAACAUACAUGUGACCAACAAACAUGAUAAAAAGCUCAACAUCACUGAUCAUUAGAGAAAUGUAAAUCAACAUUACAAUUCUCACACCAGUCAGAAUGGCAAUUAUUAAAAAGUCAAGAAACAUCAGAUGCUGGCGCAAGGCUGUGGAGAAAUAGGAAUGCUUUUACACUGUUUGUGGGAAUGUAAAUUAAUUCAACUAUUGUCAAAGACGGCGUGGCAAUUCCUCAAGGUCCCAGAAUCAGAAACAGCAUUUUAUCCAGCAAUCCUGUUACUGGGUAUAUACUCCAAUAAAUAGAAAUCAUUCUAUUACAAAGAUACAUGCACAG